UAGGGAAUCUUCCGCAAUGGACGCAAGUCUGACGGAGCAACGCCGCGUGAGUGAAGAAGGAUUUCGGUUCGUAAAACUCUGUUGUUAGAGAAGAACAGCGCAUAGAGUAACUGUUAUGCGUGUGACGGUAUCUAACCAGAAAGCCACGGCUAACUACGUGCCAGCAGCCGCGGUAAUACGUAGGUGGCAAGCGUUGUCCGGAUUUAUUGGGCGUAAAGCGAGCGCAGGCGGUCAAUUAAGUCUGAUGUGAAAGCCCCCGGCUCAACCGGGGAGGGUCAUUGGAAACUGGUUGACUAGAGUGCAGAAGAGGAGAGUGGAAUUCCAUGUGUAGCGGUGAAAUGCGUAGAUAUAUGGAGGAACACCAGUGGCGAAGGCGACUCUCUGGUCUGUAACUGACGCUGAGGCUCGAAAGCGUGGGUAGCAAACAGG
rnacentral:rRNA from 1 species